rnacentral:rRNA from 1 species
AUUGAACGCUGGCGGCAUGCCUUACACAUGCAAGUCGAACGGUAACAGGUCUUCGGAUGCUGACGAGUGGCGAACGGGUGAGCAAUACAUCGGAACGUGCCUAGUAGUGGGGGAUAACUACUCGAAAGAGUGGCUAAUACCGCAUGAGAUCUACGGAUGAAAGCAGGGGAUCGCAAGACCUUGUGCUACUAGAGCGGCCGAUGGGAGUUUAGGUAGUUGGUGGGAUAAAAGCUUACCAAGCCGACGAUCUGUAGCUGGUCUGAGAGGACGAUCAGCCACACUGGGACUGAGACACGGCCCAGACUCCUACGGGAGGCAGCAGUGGGGAAUUUUGGACAAUGGGCGAAAGCCUGAUCCAGCAAUGCCGCGUGCAGGAUGAAGGCCUUCGGGUUGUAAACUGCUUUUGUACGGAACGAAAAGCCCCGGGUUAAUACCCUGGGGUCAUGACGGUACCGUAAGAAUAAGCACCGGCUAACUACGUGCCAGCAGCCGCCGUAA